rnacentral:rRNA from 1 species
GACGAACGCUGGCGGCGUGCCUAAUACAUGCAAGUCGAGCGCAGGAAAUCGACGGAACCCUUCGGGGGGAAGUCGAUGGAAUGAGCGGCGGACGGGUGAGUAACACGUAAAGAACCUGCCCUCAGGUCUGGGAUAACCACGAGAAAUCGGGGCUAAUACCGGAUGGGUCAUCGGACCGCAUGGUCCGAGGAUGAAAGGCGCUUCGGCGUCGCCUGGGGAUGGCUUUGCGGUGCAUUAGCUAGUUGGUGGGGUAAUGGCCAACCAAGGCGACGGUGCAGAGCCGACCUGAGAGGGUGAUCGGCCACGCUGGGACUGAGACACGGCCCAGACUCCUACGGGAGGCAGCAGUAGGGAAUCUUCCACAAUGGACGAAAGUCUGAUGGAGCAACGCCGCGUGAACGAUGAAGGCCUUCGGGUCGUAAAGUUCUGUUGUAAGGGAAGAACAAGUGCCGCAGGCAAUGGCGGCACCUUGACGGUACCUUGCGAGAAAGCCACGGCUAACUACGUGCCAGCCGCCGCCGUAAAAC